AUUGAUUUUGAUGAUUACAAAAUAGUUUGAAGAGAUACAAAUAUUUUUUAUUUUUGAAAAAGUCCUUAUGCUCUACAGGGGCAAAAUCGUAAUUUCAUCAAAACUCUGAUUUGAUAGUAUCAUCUUGUAGAACAAAUGAUUUGUAAUCUAUUGGUGAAGAUUUCAUUAUUUUUGGACUUAUAUUUUUGAAGUUAUGAAGGUUUGAAGUGCAUGAGUCGACUCAGAGUCAACUCAUGGCACAAUGAGCUGAUUGGCACGCUAAAAUCCUGUUGGCACGCGACCUUUUUUGGCUUGGCACGGCUUGUGAGUCGACUCAUGAGUCGACUCACAAGGCAUGAGUCGACUCAUGAGUCGACCUCUGUUAG
rnacentral:lncRNA from 1 species